AACGAACGCUGGCGGCAUGCCUAACACAUGCCAGUCGAACGAGACCUUCGGGUCUAGUGGCGCACGGGUGCGUAACGCGUGGGAGCCUGCCCUUAGGUUCGGAAUAACUCCCCGAAAGGGGUGCUAAUACCGGAUAAUGUCUUCGGACCAAAGAUUUAUCGCCUUUGGAUGGGCCCGCGUUGGAUUAGCUAGUUGGUAGGGUAAAAGCCUACCAAGGCGACGAUCCAUAGCUGGUCUGAGAGGAUGAUCAGCCACACUGGGACUGAGACACAGCCCAGACUCCUACGGGAGGCAGCAGUGGGGAAUAUUGGACAAUGGGCGAAAGCCUGAUCCAGCAAUGCCGCGUGAGUGAUGAAGGCCUUAGGGUUGUAAAGCUCUUUUACCCGGGAUGAUAAUGACAGUACCGGGAGAAUAAGCUCCGGCUAACUCCGUG
rnacentral:rRNA from 1 species